rnacentral:lncRNA from 1 species
CCGGGGAUCAGUGCCCCGAAGCCCCGGGGCCGCCCCUCGGCCCGCUAGCUCACAGCUCAGGUGCCUCCGGCCGGGAGGAGGGAGCCGCCGGUGAUCGCGGGGCCGGGGAGCGGGAGCCGGACUCCAGCCCUUCAUCCCGACUGGCCGCGGCCUCCCGGGGCCAGGUUCCGCCGGCUCCUCCCGUGCGUGGAAUCCUACGAAGAAUAGAAGCCAAACAGCCAUAAAUUCUAAGCCUGGACUUCAGGGUCCCUGCGUGCAGUGACUGAGUUCACAGGCGCCUCUGUGGGCAACGUACUCUCCGGAAGCAGCACCAGGGCUAAGACUUGGACGAUGGUCCGCAGGAUCAGAAGCCUCUAGGGGACAGCGCCCCCUUCCCGGCCGCGGGCGUCCCCUUCCCCGCCUGCAGCCUCGGGCGCUCUCGGUGCGCGGUUCCGGAGCAGAGUGCACGCAGUCAGGCACCAGAUGCAUCACUCAAGUUCCACUGGACCUUUCCUCCUCAAAGGGCACUUGAAGUUCAAGGUAAGGUGAAAAGCAAGUGGGUUAACCCUGUUGGCUACAGGGAAGGUGCAUGCUGAAGAGGCGGGAGACCUGGUCUAGGCCUGCUGGCUGCCUUCUCCUUCCUCCUGCCCCGCCACCUCCAGGCCUGACUUCCCUCUAAGAAACAGAGUUUCUCUUUCAGCCAACAGAUAUCUCUUCACAGUCAGAAGUUUAGGAGAAAUUCAUCAUGUUCUUGGAUUUAGAAUAAUUUGGGGGGAUUAAACCAGACAGCAGAGAUGUGUGAUACACCUGGAGGGUUACCUGAGUGGACACAGGACACCUGGACAGACUUCCACAGCAUCCUAGAUGUGACAGCUACUCUACAGGACACUUGUGGGAGGUGGGAAUAGGAUUUUCAGAUGACAUUGCUCCUGAGUGUGGGUAGCAGAGACCCCUGGUAACAUCAAAACCCUUGAUGUUCGGAUUCAAGAGUAGAGAAACCCCAGGGGUAGAGAAACUUGGGGUUUCCCAGAUCAGACUCUCUGGUUACUACAGAAUGCCCCUCUACCUGUGUGUUUAUCUCUGAUCAGUCACAUCUCUCAGUGAAUAGGGGACAGAUCCUGACUUAGAGCCAGAAGUCCAGUCCCAUCUGGGCACAUCUGAGCAAGUCUCUCAGCCAGCACACAGGGUGGAAAGCCUCGGAGGCCCAGGGAACCGCUGAGGGGCUGGCCUGUGUUGCGUACGUACCCAAGACAGCGCCCAGGUAAGCGGUGCUCAUCCUGGGAUCUGUGUUUGCCCC